AUGCGGGCACGGGAACGAGGUAGGACUCGGCAGAGGAAGCGGGAGGCGGCCAUGGCGCGCGGAGGAGAAGCAGGAGGAAGGCCAUGGCAACGAGGAGGGGCGCGCGGGAUCGGGCGUGUGCGGAGACAGCGGCCUCGCGGAAGAGGGAGGCACAGGCAUGGGACAGCGCUCGUCGGCGGGCCGGCGUUGAGGAGGGAUCGGGUCGAGGCACGAGGAGCUCCUCUCCCUAGCGAUGUGCGUGGAGGCGACGCAGGAGGGAUCGAUGGGAGAGGGAGAGAGCGAGAGAUGGGGAUCGGGCUGCGGGAACUCCUGGCGGCGCGAGGAGGUGGACGAAGGGAAAAAGAGGACCGAGGGGGAUCAGGCUAG
rnacentral:rRNA from 1 species